GACGAACGCUGGCGGCGUGCUUAACACAUGCAAGUCGAACGGAAAGGCCCUGCUUUUGUGGGGUGCUCGAGUGGCGAACGGGUGAGUAACACGUGAGUAACCUGCCCUUGACUUUGGGAUAACUUCAGGAAACUGGGGCUAAUACCGGAUAGGAGCUCCUGCUGCAUGGUGGGGGUUGGAAAGUUUCGGCGGUUGGGGAUGGACUCGCGGCUUAUCAGCUUGUUGGUGGGGUAGUGGCUUACCAAGGCUUUGACGGGUAGCCGGCCUGAGAGGGUGGCCGGCCACAUUGGGACUGAGAUACGGCCCAGACUCCUACGGGAGGCAGCGGUGGGGAAUAUUGCACAAUGGGCGGAAGCCUGAUGCAGCAACGCCGCGUGCGGGAUGACGGCCUUCGGGUUGUAAACCGCUUUCGCCUGUGACGAAGCGUGAGUGACGGUAAUGGGUAAAGAAGCACCGGCUAACUACGUG
rnacentral:rRNA from 1 species